GACGAACGCUGGCGGCAUGCUUAACACAUGCAAGUCGAACGGAAAGGCCCUGCUUUUGUGGGGUGCUCGAGUGGCGAACGGGUGAGUAACACGUGAGUAACCUGCCCUUGACUUUGGGAUAACUUCAGGAAACUGGGGCUAAUACCGGAUAGGAGCUCCUGCUGCAUGGUGGGGGUUGGAAAGUUUCGGCGGUUGGGGAUGGACUCGCGGCCUAUCAGCUUGUUGGUGGGGUAGUGGCUUACCCAGUCUUUGACGGGUAGCCGGCCUGAGAGGGUGAACGGGCACAUUGGGACUGAGGGACGGCCCAGACGGCUACGUGAGGCAGUAGUGGAGAAUAUGGCACAAUGGGCGGAAGCCUGAUGCAGCAGCGCCGCGUGCGGGAUGACGGCCAUCUGGGUGGAAACCGCAGUCGCCUGUGACGAAGCGUGAGUGACGGUAAUGGGUAAAGAAGCACCGGCUAACUACGUG
rnacentral:rRNA from 1 species